rnacentral:rRNA from 1 species
UUCGCUCUUCAACGAGGAAUCCCUAGUAAGCACAAGUCAUCAGCUUGUGCUGAUUACGUCCCUGCCCUUUGUACACACCGCCCGUCGCUACUACCGAUUGAAUGGCUUAGUGAGGCCCUCGAAUUGAUUUUCUAAGACUGGCAACAGUCUUUGAUUGUUGAGAAGUUGGUCAAACUUGGUCAUUUAGAGGAAAUAAAAGUCGUAACAAGGUUUCCGUAGGUGAACCUGCGGAAGGAUCAUUAAUAAUUUGCCGAACCUAGCGUUAGCGAGGUUCUGCGAUCAUUUAUAUUUAAAACCAAACUCUUAAAUGUUAUUAUAUAAUUAUGUAUUUUUUUGAAUGAUAAAAAUUAAAAGAUCACUUUCAACAACGGAAUCUCUUCUUGAGCUUCUSGCAUCGAUGAAGAACGUAGMGAAGUGCGAUAAGUAWUGUGAAKUGCAGAAUUCCGUGAAUCAUCGAAUCUUUGAACGCAUAUUGCACUUUCUGGUAUUCCGGAAAGUAUGCCUGUUUGAGGGUCAGUUAAAUAAAAAAUCGGUGUUGUUGCUGCUUUUUUAGUGGUGAUGCAUCGGAAUUGAGUUGUCUUUACCUUUUGGUUAAAAGUGACUUAAAAUUAUGUACGAUUUUUUGAACGUAUUUGAAUUGUUUACGUAUGUUCAUAAUAUCAUAUAUUAGGUGCGAUUAUUCUUAUAAUUUCGCGUCUAUAAUUUUUCAUUAUUUGACCUCAAAUCAGGUAAGAGUACCCGCUGAACUUAAGCAUAUCAAUAAGCGGAGGAAAAGAAAAUAACAAUGAUUCCCUUAGUAACGGCGAGUGAAGGGGGAUAAGCUCAAAUUUUAAAUCUGCUAGGUCUUACCUAUCAGAGUUGUAAUUUGAAGAAGCGUUUUCCGCGUCUCGGUUGACCCAAAUCCUUUUGGGAUAAGGUAUCAUGGAGGGUGGAGAAUCCCGUUCGGUUGACCUUGUGACGCUUUACGAUACGUUUUCUAAGAGUCGAGUUGUUUGGGAUUGCAGCUCAAAAUGGGRRGUAAAUUUCUCCUAAGGCUAAAUAUUGGCGAGAGACCGAUAGCGAACAAGUACCGUGAGGGAWAGAUGAAAAGAACUUUGAAAAGAGAGUAAAAUAGUACGUGAMAUKGUUGAAAGGGAAACGAUUGAAGUCAGUCGUACCGACGGAAAAUCAGCYCYUUGAGUGCGGGAACCUUKUKGGCUUACGUGAGUUUUUUAACACCUCGCUGUUUGCAACGUUCGUGUUUUUUGGGUGUACUUUUUCGUAUGGUAGGCCAAUGUCAGUUUCGAUCGCUAUAAAAUGACCGGCGGAAUGUAGCUUCGAUCUCGUAUUGAAGUGUUAUAGCCUCUGGUAGAUGUGGUGAUUGGGACUGAGGAUUGCAACGAAUACCUUUUGGGCUAUCCGUCUGAUCUCUGAAGGUUGCUUAGGUGCCGAAAGCGUGCUUACGGUUAUUUAAGUUGACAGUCAAAAGGUUAGAACGUGAUUAUAUUCGUUAAGGAUGUUGGCGUAAUGGCUUUAAACGACCCGUCUUGAAACACGGACCAAGGAGUCUAACAUAUAUGCGAGUGUU